AUUGAACGCUGGCGGCAUGCCUUACACAUGCAAGUCGAACGGUAACAGGUCUUCGGAUGCUGACGAGUGGCGAACGGGUGAGUAAUACAUCGGAACGUGCCCGAUCGUGGGGGAUAACGGAGCGAAAGCUUUGCUAAUACCGCAUACGAUCUACGGAUGAAAGCAGGGGACCGCAAGGCCUUGCGCGGACGGAGCGGCCGAUGGCAGAUUAGGUAGUUGGUGGGAUAAAAGCUUACCAAGCCGACGAUCUGUAGCGGGUCUGAGAGGACGACCAGCCACACUGGGACUGAGACACGGUCCAGACUCCUACGGGAGGCAGCAGUGGGGAAUUUUGGACAAUGGGCGCAAGCCUGAUCCAGCCAUGCCGCGUGCAGGAUGAAGGCCUUCGGGUUGUAAACUGCUUUUGUACGGAACGAAACGGCUCUUUCUAAUAAAGAGGGCUAAUGACGGUACCGUAAGAAUAAGCACCGGCUAACUACGUGCCAGCCGCCGCAGUAAAAC
rnacentral:rRNA from 1 species